AGCAGCCGCGGUAAUUCCAGCUCCAAUAGCGUAUAUUAAAGUUGUUGCAGUUAAAAAGCUCGUAGUUGAAUUUCGGGAUCAAUUAGUCGGUCGUGCCUCUGGUACGUACUGGUUUUAUUGGUUCCUCCCUUCUGACGAAACAUGAUGUCAUUAAUUUGGUGUCGUGGAGAAUCAGGACUGUUACCUUGAAAAAAUUAGAGUGUUUAUAGCAGGCUAACGCUUGAAUACAUUAGCAUGGAAUAAUGAAAUAGGACGUUCGACCCUAUUUUGUUGGUUUCUAGGAUCGACGUAAUGAUUAAUAGGGAUAGUUGGGGGCAUUAGUAUUCAAUUGUCAGAGGUGAAAUUCUUGGAUUUAUGAAGACUAACUACUGCGAAAGCAUUUGCCAAGGAUGUUUUCAUUAAUCAAGAACGAAAGUUAGGGGAUCGAAGACGAUCAGAUACCGUCGUAGUCUUAACCAUAAACUAUGCCGACUAGGGAUCGGAUGAUGUUAAUUUUUAAUGACUCAUUCGGCGCCUACGG
rnacentral:rRNA from 1 species